UAUGUGGACGGAACGCCCAUUAGAGAAUACAAGAAUAGCGAAUCAAUGGGAGUUUCAUAUCCGAAGAACCAAGCAAUGAGGAUUUACUCGAGUCUUUGGAAUGCAGAUGAUUGGGCUACAAGAGGAGGACUUGUCAAGACUGAUUGGAGCCAAGCACCCUUUAGUGCUUCUUACAGAACUUCAAAUCUAACACAUUCUUUUGGGAUAAACCUUGAUUUGGGGUUCUCUUAUUUUUUGAUUGAACAGAUUCUAUGUGGACGGAAUGCCCAUUAGAGAAUACAAGAAUAGUGAAUCAAUGGGAGUUUCAUAUCCGAAGAACCAACCAAUGAGGAUAUAUUCAAGUCUUUGGAAUGCAGAUGAUUGGGCUACAAGAGGAGGACUUGUCAAGACUGAUUGGAGCCAAGCACCCUUUAGUGCUUCUUACAGAAACUUCAGUUCUAAUGCUUGUAUUCCCAGUUCUUCAUCUUCUUGCAGUUCCAAUACUACAACUUCAACAAGCAAUUCAUGGUUGAAU
rnacentral:lncRNA from 1 species